CGGCAGGGUCUCCCUGUGUUUCUCUGCCAGUCCUGGAACUCCAGGCUGCCUUUUAACUCACAGACCCACCUGUCUGUCUCCUAAGGGAACAAGAAAAAAACCACAGCAAGGUAUAUAAGACAAAAAACAAGGUGUCAGAAAGGAUUCAUUCUCCAGCCACACUUGAAGAUAGGAACAAUUGUUCUACAGCUACAAUGAGACAGCAGUUUGAGACUUGGUGACGAGUUCUGUGCAUGGAUCAGCCCUUUCAGACUGAGUUAGAGGUGAGAGCUAGUGGCCAGCUGCUUUGCUUUUCUGAUAUUCAAUGUGAAGCUUGAAUUGAAAUGUCAGCCUCUGGGUCUUUAUUUUUCAUGUUACAGCAAAGUCCCAGGAGCUGGCAUAUCUGGAGGGCCCUCUGUGGGUUGGCCUUGGUCUAGGCAGGAGGAUUGAACCUGCAAAACACACUUGAAAAUCGGUGGGGGUCAAAACAGUCUCUGGAAACUGUUAAGUUUUCAUCAGGCCAUAUUUCUUGACACAGUGACAGAACUUCUCCCAGGAACCUGCAGGGGUGUGUAAAACAACUGAACAGGUUUACAUCUUGGUGUCAUUAAAAAAAAAAAAAAAAAAAAAAAAAAAAGCCGUGGCCUUGGGUUAAAAGGCAUGAACACUUUCAGAAGACAACCAGAGGUAAUUUAAAACUCUGAAGUUACAUCUAAAACCUAUUCAUUUUGGACUAUGAAGCCUAUGAACAAGGCAGACUUGUCUGUACUUUUAACAGGAAACUUAACUGAUGAGUUACCAGGGUGCUUGAAGCCUUGGGGGUUGGGGGAGAGCUGUUAAAUUGUCAAAUCUGUCACCAAGUAGUGGAGUACAGGGUUGGGUCACCAUGUCCAGCUUACUUAUUACUACUAUCUUUACUUAGAACUGAAUUUACUCUACUGGAAAAAGACAUAUGAGGAAUACAGUAUCCCUUGCUGCUUGAAAAUGAGUGGCACUGUAUCCAGGUUGUAGGUGUACCUUGCAAAACUAGUGGUCAUUAUCUCCAGUGCCUCUCUCUUCCCCAAUGAAAAGCUCAAUGACAAUAAAUCUCAAUUGUAGUUAAAUGCAGAAUCAGAAGUACUGACUAAAAGGCAGAAUUCUCACAGCCAGUAAGAAUACAGGGAAUUUAGGAAAAUUUAAUUGCAGGAUCUUGCCCCUACAUGGAAAGUGGGAACAAUGAUGAUUACCUAGAUGGUUGCAGUCUUUUUGUUUUAGCCAGCAGACCAUUGAAGUUUGGUUUUUAGAAAGGCAAAAUUGGGAAAACUAUAUUUAGUUUGGAAAUACACUUUAUUGAUUGAUGAUAACUGAUACAUCAUAGGUGAUUAAUAGCCAUCUAAAAGACAAGAACUAAGUUAUAUAUACAAAAGUCUGAACAGAAGAGAUGGAGUUUAUUGACCUAUCCAUAAUCACUCAAGAGUUCCAUUUGUUUAUCCAAUUGGUAUUUCGUGGAUUCUUUGUAUACAGCCUUGGUUGAGUAAAUUAGUUCCCAGCACACGAAUUGGGCAACUCAGGGUUGCUUAUGCCUCCUGCUCCAAGGGUAUCUGACACCUCUGGCCUCAGGGCACCCAUGUAUACACCACCCACAAAUAGACACUCAUAAUUUAAAAAUAAAUCUUAAAAAGACUGGUGCUUUUUCAUUAUGUACACAUGUUUAUCAUAAUUUAAAAAUAAAUCUUAAAAAGA